GUGGGACUACCAGAGGAGCUUAAAGAUAUACGAGUACUCUUAGAUCAACGACCAGAUGCGGAGGUAUAUUUUUUUUAAAAUUUCAAUUAUAUAAUAUUAACGUAGUUGAUUUAAAAAUUAAUAGUAAAUAUAUAAUUAAAAUUAUUGUCCUAUAGUUUGAAUUGAUUUCAUACUCUAAUCUGAGAAUUCAAGCAUGCAUCCUAUUCGAAUUCUUAGUGAAUCCCAAUAUCUGGCACGUGAAGAUGUCAUAGGUAGUGUACACUACGGUGAAGAUGCAUGAAUCUGAUAGAGUUACGUGACAGUUCAGGUUUAAGCAAAUGAUUAUGUCGGCACCCCAAGAUAUCAAAGAUCUGCACAAUACCGACUAACGGGGAAAAUUGAUAAAAAUUGUGUUACAUUCCAUGCGCAACAUAUCAACAUAUGGAACCAUAGGUUCAACUUUAUACCUAAUUGCAAAGCCAUUGUCGCUACGGAACUAGCC
rnacentral:lncRNA from 1 species